rnacentral:rRNA from 1 species
AACGAACGCUGGCGGCAUGCCUAACACAUGCAAGUCGAACGAGACCUUCGGGUCUAGUGGCGCACGGGUGCGUAACGCGUGGGAACCUGCCCUUAGGUUCGGAAUAACUCCCCUAAAGGGGUGCUAAUACCGGGUAAUGUCUUCGGACCAAAGAUUUAUCGCCCUUGGAUGGGCCCGCGUUGUAUUAGCUUGUUGGUAGGGUAAAAGCCUACCAAGGCGACGAUCCAUAGCUGGUCUGAGAGGAUGAUCAGCCACACUGGGACUGAGACACGGCCCAGAAUAUUGCGGGAGGCAGGAGUGGGGAAUAUUGGCAAAUGGGGGAAAGGCUGAUCCAGCAAUGCCGGGUGAGUGAUGAAGGCCUUAGGGUUGUAAAGCUCUUUUACCCGGGACGAUAAUGACAGUACCGGGAGAAUAAGCUCCGGCUAACUCCGUG